GCCCGGUUAGCUCAGCCGGUAGAGCGUUGACUUUUAAUCCAACGGUCAAGGCUGGAAGUACCUUAUCGGGCU
rnacentral:tRNA from 1 species